UACGUAGGUGGCAAGCGUUGUCCGGAUUUAUUGGGUUUAAAGGGUGCGUAGGCGGUUUUCUAAGUCAGCAGUGAAAUACGGCAGCUCAACUGUCGAGGUGCUGUUGAUACUGGGGAACUUGAGUACUGAUGAGGUAGGCGGAAUGGACGGUGUAGCGGUGAAAUGCUUAGAGACCGUCCAGAACACCGAUAGCGAAGGCAGCUUACUAAGGAGUAACUGACGCUGAGGCACGAAAGUGUGGGGAUCAAACAGG
rnacentral:rRNA from 1 species